GGCGUAAAGCGCAUGCAGGUGGUUUGUUAAGUCAGAUGUGAAAUCCCCGGGCUCAACCUGGGAACUGCAUCUG
rnacentral:rRNA from 1 species